rnacentral:rRNA from 1 species
CUCUGUGACUCCUACGGGAGGCAGCAGUGGGGAAUAUUGCACAAUGGGCGCAAGCCUGAUGCAGCAACGCCGCGUGAGCGAUGAAGGCCUUCGGGUCGUAAAGCUCUGUCCUCAAGGAAGAAUAAAUGACGGUACUUGAGGAGGAAGCCCCGGCUAACUACGUGCCAGCAGCCGCGGUAAUACGUAGGGGGCAAGCGUUAUCCGGAAUCACUGGGCGUAAAGGGUGCGUAGGCGGUUUUUCAAGUCAGAAGUGAAAGGCUAUGGCUCAACCAUAGUAAGCUUUUGAAACUGUUAAACUUGAGUGCAGGAGAGGAAAGUGGAAUUCCUAGUGUAGAGGUGAAAUUCGUAGAUAUUAGGAGGAACACCAGUGGCGAAGGCGACUUACUGGACUGUAACUGACGCUGAUGCACGAAAGCGUGGGUAGCGAACAGGAUUAGAUACCCUGGUAG